AUUCGGGUUCUCACCGAUUAAUAGGGAAUCCUGUGAAAAUCAGGAGCUAUGCCCGUAGCUGUGAGUUCCGCAAAAGGCUUUCGGCACAAAUGUCACUGAUAUUUUUAUCGGGAAGACGCCGAAAGGGGAACAAGCCAGAAGACCUGCCCGUUUCC
rnacentral:ncRNA from 1 species